CUACGUGCCAGCAGCCGCGGUAAUACGUAGGGCGCGAGCGUUGUCCGGAAUUAUUGGGCGUAAAGAGCUUGUAGGCGGUUUGUCGCGUCUGCUGUGAAAGGCCGGGGCUUAACCCCGUGUAUUGCAGUGGGUACGGGCAGACUAGAGUGCAGUAGGGGAGACUGGAAUUCCUGGUGUAGCGGUGGAAUGCGCAGAUAUCAGGAGGAACACCGAUGGCGAAGGCAGGUCUCUGGGCUGUAACUGACGCUGAGAAGCGAAAGCAUGGGGAGCGAACAGGAUUAGAUACCCUGGUAGUCCACGCCGUAAACGAUGAGUGCUAGGUGUUAGMCCCUUUCCGGGGUUUAGUGCCGCAGCUAACGCAUUAAGCACUCCGCCUGGGGAGUACGACCGCAAGGUUGAAACUCAAAGGAAUUGACGGGGGCCCGCACAAGCGGUGGAGCAUGUGGUUUAAUUCGAAGCAACGCGAA
rnacentral:rRNA from 1 species